CCUCACAUUUCUCUUGCAUGAACUUGUUCGAAAAUCAUCAUCAACCAACCGAUAAAUUUUAAUUCGGACUUCUGUUUGCCGACAACAUUAACCCACUCUGCUGCUGCUAAUAGUGCCACAAUCUGCAGUUUCAGCCUAUGUUCUGAGUGAAACAGGGUCGUGAUCGUUUCAUCGCAACACACCAACACCAUGUCUCUACGUUAAUUCUUAAUCUUGUUUUAAGGUAUCAAUUAUCAGAACAAUUUUAGAUCGAUUGGAAGUUAGGGUUUUGUUUCUAGCACUUACCAUCAUUAUCAGAUGCUUUAUAUAAUCUAAGCAUUUGAGACGGGAGGUGGUAGUGAAACCGACUACAAUGAUUGCCAAGAAGUCGAACCGAUGAAGCAUUCAAUCUGGAAUUGAUUUGCCGGUGCUGUAUGGAAUGAGAAUUGAAUUGCCAAUGAGGAAUGAUCGCCCUUUGGAAAAAAUGUGGCGUUGAUAGCCGAAAGACAAGGGGGUAGAUGCACUAAUCAGCUUUUGUUCCAGUUGCUGAGUGUUAUGCGCCUUAUGUCCAACGGUUGAUGCAAAACUACUAUGGAGCUGGGGGUCUCACUGGAAGCAGCCUCUCUAUUCCUAUGGGGUAGAGGCAACUAUUUAGUAAGGGAUGAGACUUUUCUCUGCUGGAUGUUCAUGAAGGAAAUCCACUGCCUAGCCAUCAAGCGGGAAUUCGAUAUUCAAUAUUUCUGAUCAUUGCUGAGCAUAUUGUCUUUACCUUUUUACGAUAUUGCAGCUUUGACGAAGCUUGAGCUCAUUAAUCGCCCAAACUUCGAAGGAGCUACAUUGUUCGCACGCAAGAUUAAGAUGAACAAAAACUCAGGCUGGAAAGACGAGUCAUACAAGCCUCAGUUCCCUAUCUAUCAGCAGAUCAAGUUCACUUUAGAUCCAGCGACCAACAUGGUGCGCUACAAGCUUGUGUAUCAGCGCGCGAAAGUCAUGGAUAAGAUCCUGUUAAUGCCGAUGAAGCAGAACUUUUUGGAAGACAUGGCUUUAUGGUGCUACGACUCAGAUACGCACGAGGCGGUGAUCGUUUUUAGUGGCGAUCAUGAAAAUUUCCGGAUGUUGGAUCCGAUGUGGAUCGUGAACAUGUCAGCGGCCGACAUCAACAAGUUAUAUCGGCACGAUAUUUUUUACGAAGACAAGGACGCGCAUCAAGCGUUGCGAUUUCAGCGCGUCGCUUGCUUCUGCUACUAUCGUGGAAUACAUGCCGGUAGUUCGUGGUCCGAGCAACACUGAAGACAGAAGAUUGAAGACCGAAGACAGUAACAGACAAGGGGGAGUUGUUGAUGCGUAUUUUUAGUGUCCGUAACUUGUCUUAAUUAACGUUGUAUUUAUACGGUCUUUUUAAUGAUUAUCGAGUCUGUAUUCGCCGUCGACCUUAGUUGGAUAUCCUCCUAUCUAUCUAAGUGUCCGACAAAGUUUGUCUCGUUUGAAAUGUAAUGUUUAAUGAACAAUGCAUGUUGCAUGUAAGUUUAUAUGUAUGUUUGUGUGUUUAUGUGUUUUGCUGCAAACUGUUUGUUUGCAGCAAACCAAACAGCUUAUGCAGCCUUCGACGAAACCCUAGGUUUCGUCGAGCACUACAUAACGAAAAUCCUUCAUGACCAAAACCCCAAGUUUCGUCGUGAUGGGUGACGAAACUCCUAGAGUUUCAUCGUCCAGGAGGUUUCGUCAGGCCCAAAUGAAGUUUCGUCAAGCCCAUUGAUGUUUCGUCGAGUUAUGGGCCUGGGCUGCUAUAUAAACCACACAUAGUUUCACUUUGAAACUAUGAGAGCAUACCCUGUCUGAAAGAUGAGUGUCAAACUUUUGUGUAUCUGUUUGAUCAUUGUUCUCAUCCUGUUAAUCAAUUGACUGUGAUUCAUUGG